rnacentral:rRNA from 1 species
UACAGAGGUCCCAAGCGUUGUUCGGAUUCACUGGGCGUAAAGGGUGCGUAGGCGGUCGGGUAAGUCUGAUGUGAAAUCUCACAGCUUAACUGUGAAACUGCAUUGGAUACUAUCCGGCUCGAGGAAUGGAGGGGAGACUGGAAUACUUGGUGUAGCAGUGAAAUGCGUAGAUAUCAAGUGGAACACCAGUGGCGAAGGCGAGUCUCUGGACAUUUCCUGACGCUGAGGAGCGAAAGUGUGGGGAGCGAACAGG